ensembl:lncRNA
CUUUUGUCUUUCCAUAUAAACUUUAGAAUCAAUUAGUACUUAUCUAUAAAGAACUUGAUAAAUUUUUUAUUGAGAUUGCAUUGAAUUUAUAAAUGAAGUUGGGAAGAACUGACAUCUACUGAUGUUAAUUCUUGGAAUCCAUGAACUCACAAUAUCCUUCCACUCAGAUCUACUUUUUUAAUCACAGCUUUAUAGUUUUCUAUAAACAGAUCCUGUACAUAUUUUAGAUUCACACCUAAAUGGUAUUGUUUUUAGCUUCCAAUAUCAAUUAUACAUGGGUGAUACACAGGAAAGCAACUGACUCUUGUAUAUUAUAAUCCUGCUAUAGUCACUUACUAGUUUCAGGUUUUUUUUAAUACUCUUUAAGAUUUUCUACAUGAACAAUUAUGCUACUAGGAACAAAGUCAGUUUUCUUUCUUUCUUCCUGAUCUGCUUACUUUGAUUUCCUUUUCUUACAAGACUUCUAUCUAGGACAACUUUGAAAGGAGUGAUGAGAUGGGAGUCAUGCUUUAGUUGGAAAGUUUCUCACCAUUAAGUAUGAUGCUAGCUCUAAGGCUGUAUCAACUUGACUAAGUUGCAAAAGUUCUCUUACAUUCCUAGUUUGUUAGAGCUUUUAUCACGAAUGAGCGUUCAAGGUACACACUUUUUAAGUGUUGCUUUCAGUCAAUCUGCCCUGGAACUUCUAAGCAAGGUAGGUAAGAAAGUAAGUUAUUUAGACAACCGUUCACGCCAGGUGACUACCAAAAUACCUCAAUACUAUGUGUGACAGGGGGCCGGCAAAGCCAAGAUAGAUCAGUACACUGAGCAUCGGAGCCCCAAAACGAUGACAAAAGCCUGGAGAUUUAAUCAAGAACUCAAUGAAAGUACCAGUUGCCUUUAGAAGUAUGUCUUCCCGUGCUCUAAUCUUUGGCAAAUAGGAGCCUCGUGGGGUUACCGUUCAAGAGGUCGCCAAAGUCGGACAGGACUUAACAACAAAAAUUUAAAACUUAGAAAAUUAUUCACACACAGUAGGCUUUGGGUCAAAGCCAGAGACGCACCCACUCCCAGGGUGGAGCUCUGCGGAAUUUUCUUGCAGGGACAGGAGAAAGGGUUAAUGAAUAGUGUUACCAUAUUUAACACUGAUAACUUUUUUCCUCAGCUGUUUUUACAACAUCUGCUUCUCUUCAAACUUCUCUUUAAAAUCACAGAUUUUAAAAAACCACUACCGAAACGGACUGGAAACCUAGUUUGGAAAUCAAGAUACUCUGAUUGCUAACUGGAUAACCUUUGGCAGGCAAUUAAACCCUCAGCCUGCGUAGUCGUGGAAUUCAAACAAGAUAAUGUAGAGGAAAAGCACUGAAGUGCAGCACAAACGUGGAGCGUCAUUUCUUCUGCACCCUUUCUCAGCCGACCCCCACCUCUGGGCGCCUCCAAAUGACAAGGGGCGCGGAGCAUUGUGGUCCCGUGCGCGAGAGCGAGGAUGGAGGCAGGAAAGAGAAAGCAAAAGGCUGGACGAGCCGAUAGAGCGGUCCCCGCGCACGCGCACGCACGGCGACGGAGGUGAAAAGAGGCGGUGCCUGGUCUACGGCGAGCGGAGUGGGG